rnacentral:rRNA from 1 species
UACGUAGGGGGCAAGCGUUGUCCGGAAUCAUUGGGCGUAAAGAGCGUGUAGGCGGCCAGAUAAGUCCGCUGUGAAAUCUCGAGGCUCAACUUCGAGCUGUCGGUGGAAACCGUAUGGCUAGAGUCCGGAAGAGGAGAGUGGAAUUUCUGGUGUAGCGGUGAAAUGCGCAGAUAUCAGGAAGAACACCAAUGGCGAAGGCAGCUCUCUGGGACGGUGCUGACGCUGAGAUGCGAAAGCGUGGGGAGCGAACAGG